UGCAAGCGUUACUCGGAAUCACUGGGCGUAAAGCGCGCGCAGGCGGCUAUUUAAGUUGGAUGUGAAAGCCUACGGCUCAACCGUAGAACUGCAUCCAAAACUAUUUAGCUAGAGUGUGGGAGAGGAAGAUGGAAUUAGUUGUGUAGGGGUAAAAUCCGUAGAGAUAACUAGGAAUACCAAAAGCGAAGGCAAUCUUCUGGAACACUACUAACAUUCAUCGUUUACUGCGUGGA
rnacentral:rRNA from 1 species